CCUACGGGUUGCAGCAGUGGGGAAUAUUGCACAAUGGGCGCAAGCCUGACGCAGCCAUGCCGCGUGUAUGAAGAAGGCCUUCGGGUUGUAAAGUACUUUCAGCGAGGAGGAAGGCAUUAAGGUUAAUAACCUUGGUGAUUGACGUUACUCGCAGAAGAAGCACCGGCUAACUCCGUGCCGGCAGCCGCGGUAAUACGGAGGGUGCAAGCGUUAAUCGGAAUUACUGGGCGUAAAGCGCACGCAGGCGGUCUGUCAAGUCGGAUGUGAAAUCCCCGGGCUCAACCUGGGAACUGCAUUCGAAACUGGCAGGCUAGAGUCUUGUAGAGGGGGGUAGAAUUCCAGGUGUAGCGGUGAAAUGCGUAGAGAUGUGGAGGAACACCAGUGGCGAAGGCGGCUCUCUGGUCUGUAACUGACGCUGAGGCGCGAAAGCGUGGGGAGCAAACAGGAUUAGAUACCCGGGUAGUC
rnacentral:rRNA from 1 species